rnacentral:rRNA from 1 species
AGCGACGCCGCGUGGGGGAUGAAGGGCUUCGGCUCGUAAACCCCUGUCAUUUGCGAACAAACCCUCACAUUGAACAGGUGUGAGGUUGAUAGUAGCGAAAGAGGAAGGGACGGCUAACUCUGUGCCAGCAGCCGCGGUAAUACAGAGGUCCCGAGCGUUGUUCGGAUUCACUGGGCGUAAAGGGUGCGUAGGUGGUGGGGUAAGUCUCGUGUGAAAGCUCGCAGCUUAACUGCGAAAAGUCACGGGAUACUAUUCUGCUGGAGGCUUGGAGGGGGGACUGGAAUACUUGGUGUAGCAGUGAAAUGCGUAGAUAUCAAGUGGAACACCAGUGGCGAAGGCGAGUCCCUGGACAAGACCUGACACUGAGGCACGAAAGCCAGGGGAGCAAACGGGAUUAGAUACCCUGGUAGUCCUGGCUGUAAACGGUGCACGUUUGCUGUAAAAGGAAUCGACCCCUUUUGUGGCGAAGCUAACGCGAUAAACGUGCCGCCUGGGAAGUACGGUCGCAAGAUUA